rnacentral:rRNA from 1 species
GAUGAACGCUGGCGGCGUGCUUAACACAUGCAAGUCGAACGGAAAGGCCCAAGCUUGCUUGGGUACUCGAGUGGCGAACGGGUGAGUAACACGUGGGUGAUCUGCCCCGCACUUCGGGAUAAGCCUGGGAAACUGGGUCUAAUACCGGAUAGGACGGUGGUUUGGAUGCCAUUGUGGAAAGUUUUUUCGGUGUGGGAUGAGCUCGCGGCCUAUCAGCUUGUUGGUGGGGUAAUGGCCUACCAAGGCGUCGCCGGGUAGCCGGCCUGAGAGGGUGUACGGCCACAUUGGGACUGAGAUACGGCCCAGACUCCUACGGGAGGCAGCAGGGGGGAAUAUUGCACAAUGGGCGCAAGCCUGAUGCAGCGACGCCGCGUGGGGGAUGACGGCCUUCGGGUUGUAAACUCCUUUCGCUAGGGACGAAGCGUUAUGUGACGGUACCUAGAGAAGAAGCACCGGCUAACUACGUG